GCCUUGCGCGCGCUGUGGCCUUUAGAGGCGAUGCGUCCCGGAGAGGCGGUGGUCGGUUGAGGUGUCCCUGUGUAAGGCUGGUAAUUACCUGGUUCUUGCAGGCUCGGCUAAAAGAAUCUUUCAGGACCCCUCCUCCCUCGAUCACGCAUCUGACGGCGUGGAGUCUUAGCAAUUUCUCCAUCUACCGGUCGUUCGAAGUUACUAGUAAUUAGUUACCAUUUUUUUUAGUGUAGAGUCACAGUUGUCCAUGCAAAUAAAGCCAAGGUUGUCAAAACACGGUUUUACUUCGGAAAGAUCUUUGCACCCAGUAUUUUUUAUAUACAGGCCACGGCAGCCGCCCGACAAGGAGGGAAAUAACGUGAAGAGAAGUCAGUGCCUACAGAGCUAAGGGUGUUUUCUCACGGAAGGGCCAGUCUAUUCUGUGAGAAACAGCAGGCCAAGGACGGCAGCAGCUGCAGUUUCUAGAGGCAGCCCGUGUAUUUUGAAAGGAUUAAACACUACAGGGCAGGGACUGCAUCAUCUGUGACUGUAUACAUAAAAUGCCCCAACAAAAUGCAACUUCCAGUUUUACUUGGGAUUCCCUCUAUAUUUCUAACAUGACUGAGGUUGAUGGGGAAACAGAGGGACAUACAUAGCCUAACAGUGAUCCUGGAAGACAACCUACCUGCAUA